UACAGAGGUCUCAAGCGUUGUUCGGAUUCAUUGGGCGUAAAGGGUGUGUAGGUGGCGCGCUAAGUCGGGUGUGAAAUUUCGGAGCUUAACUCCGAAACUGCAUUCAAUACUGGCGUGCUUGAGGACUGGAGAGGAGACUGGAAUUUACGGUGUAGCAGUGAAAUGCGUAGAUAUCGUAAGGAAGACCAGUGGCGAAGGCGGGUCUCUGGACAGUUCCUGACACUGAGACACGAAGGCCAGGGGAGCAAACGGG
rnacentral:rRNA from 1 species